rnacentral:rRNA from 1 species
AUGUACUUUGAUGGUGCCUUCUCGCUGCAAGGCGCCGGUGCGGGCGUGCUACUUGUUGCACCCACCGGAGAGAACCUCAAGUACGUAGUUCAGAUGCACUUUCCCAAGGAGCAAGCAACGAACAAUACCGCAGAGUAUGAAGGUUUGCUUGCCAGUCUCAGGAUCGCAGCAGACCUUGGGAUCAAGAAGCUCAUUGUCAGGGGUGACUCACAGCUUGUCGUCUGCCAAGUGAACAAGAAUUAUCAGAGUCCGUUGAUGGAAGCCUACGUUGAUGAAGUGAGAAAGCUAGAAGAGCACUUUGACGGCCUACAGAUGGAACAUGUUCCAAGAGCUCAGAACGACACUGCCGAUGGCCUGUCGAAGUGCGCCGCACUUAAGUUACCCGUGGAACCAGGGAUCUUUGUGCUCAAGCUGACUCAACCGUCUGUAACGCCAUCAAUUGGACAGAGCAAGAAGAGGAAGUUGAUUUCUGGUGACUAUUUUCCGGCAGAGCUCCCCGAAGCCGCCGCCAAGAAGGUCCUCAAGAUCAACACCGAAGGUGCUGAGGAGCAGUCUGCUCCGGCAAGCCUUAGGGUUUGUUCCGUUGAAGCAGACCCUCCCGACAAGUUUUGCUCCGGCAAGCUUGCCCGGGAACGUCAAGCUCCGGCUGAGCCGCAGGUUCUCGCCGUAGAAGCGGAUGUUCCCGCAGCAGCAGAUGUGCCUUUAGUCUUUGUUGUCGAGCCGCAAGCUCCAGCAUGGGCAUAG